AUGAGGGGAAGGUGCUGCUGCGGAGAGGGGAACAGGGAGAGAAGAUGGGUCCCCACAGGCUCAGCAAGGCCAGGGCCUCUUGUUUGUUCCAAGGCUGGGCUGCUGCUUCUGCUCAGCACCUGUCAGGGCGCAGCACAGCAGCUGCUGAGCAUGGUAGGCCGAGCACCCAGACCAGGCUCCAUGAUGAUGUUGGGGGAGCUGGCCACAGGCCAGGGUCGAAGGGGAAGAGGAAGGGGAAGAGGAAGGGGAAGAGUUCCAGCACUGCUUCCUGUUCAUUGUCACUCACAGGCUGGCUGCAGAGGAGCAGGUGGUCGUUGGACAAGCAGAUCUGCUGGCCCCAGGUCUUCCUGCAGUGCACUUGGCAGCUUCCCUUGGAGGAGCCUGUGUUGUAGGCUCACAUCCGGCUGGCUGGCGGGAGCAGCACAGCUGAGCAGGCUAAACUGGAGAUGCCUGGGCUGGAGGGUAAUUUGGCUUUCUGUGUGCCUCACAUCCAGCAUGCACUACAGCAUAUGUCAACCUGAGAUUCCCACUGUUCAAGUGCUCAGUGGUGCCAACGGCCACGAGUCACUCACUGGACAGCGAAGACCUCAAUGUUUACAUCUCACCCAGUGAACUCUUAUCUUGCUGGCAGGAGCUCACAUAUGAAUCCUUCAGAGAAACCUUUUGUAAGCCAACCCCAAAACUAGGCCUCAUUUUUGUUCUUGUAUUUUUUUUUUUUUUAUAACUCUCUAUACUCUGUUCAGAACACUUGCUAUAGACUGUAACUGGGGAAGGUUUUUGUGCCCUUGAGCUGCUAUAAUAAAAUACCUGAGACCAUGUGCUUUAUUUAUUUAUUUUGAACCGGGGAUCGAACUCGGGUCCUUGGGCAUGCAAAGCAGGCUGGAAACACUGAGCUAAAUCCCUGGCCCGACUAUGUGCUUUAUAAAUAUCGGAAAUUUAUCCCUCACAGUUCUGGAGGCUGGGAAGCCCAAGACACUAACAGAUCUGCUGUUUGGUGAGGGAUGGCUAUAUUUCUCCACAGGCUGGGAGGUGUAAACAAGCUCCCUCAGGCUUUUUUUGUUCCUGGUACUGGGAAUCAAAUUCAAGACUUUGUACUCGACAGGCAAUCUGAAGCAGAGCUUAAAUUUCCCGGCCCUCAGGCUUCUUUUUUAAAGGCACUAAUCCCAUUCAAGAGAGCUCUGCCUUUAGAAGCCCAAAGUCCCACCUGCUUUUCCACCUCUCAGUACUAUUACUCUGGGGAUUAGGCUUCAGCAUGUGAAUUUUGGGAGACACAGACAUCACAGUGCAGUGGUGUUCAUAUGUGACUUGAUAGUAGACAUGCUCCCUGCCCGGUGGUAGGUCACAUGAUGGUGGAGACCAGGUUCCCAAACCCUGGUCCACAGCAGACACUGUGGAACCUUUUACUUUUUCCAGUCAAUGCAUUAAACAACUUAAUUCUUUCCUAUUACUCUGUAUUCUUCUCUACUGUGCUGUUUUUACUUAUAUGUUCUGCUGCCGUGGAACUUCAGUUUGUUCUUACCUUAGCAUGUUUUCAGGCUCAGUUUCCAAGGCAAAUCAUCUGCUUAUUUAUAUUUCCUAUUUAAAAUUACCUAGAAAGAGCAUUUGAUUGGUUUAGGUCAGUAUUUUUCAAAUUUUGCCAAGGAUGAGGUAUAAUCAGGAACCAAGGUAAAAAUACCAGCUCCUAAUCCAUUCCCAUCUGAAUGGAUUCAACAGGUGAGGCUGGGGGGUCUAGGACUCUGAAUUUUACCAAUUAGAUCAGGUAAAAAUGGGAACCUCUGGAUAAUCUUUUCAUGAAUUCUCAGCCUGUGGGUGGUUGUUUUGAUGACGAAGUCCAGCUCUUAUCUGAUAAAGUUACUGGUUCUGGGGAAGAAGAACAAAAUCUGGCUGCCCCGAGGAGUCUCAAAUACAGUUAUAGCACAACUAAUACUUCCACAGCAGAACUUGACGGCCCCGUUGUACGGGUUUUACACCAUCUUCAUCUCGUCUCCAUGAUCCUAGGAAACAGGUGAAGGUUUGAGAACUAAAGUGCCCAGGGCCAAAGGUGGUGGUGGGGCUUGACCACAGAAUGUCCCUUAUUAACCCCACACUUGCUGCACAAGGAGGAAAGGUCAAGGUCCCAUCCACUUUGGAAUUUGCCAGCCACGAUUUCAUAAUUUAAAUCUUUUUUUUGGUACCAGGGAUCGAACUCGGGACCUUGCGCUUGCAAGGCAAGCGACGGGACUACUGAGCUAAAUCCCCGGGCCCCCCCCAAAUCGAUUCUGACCACCUAACUAUACGAACUAAAAUGCAACUUUUCCACCGUUUGUAAACUAGUUAAGUCCAGGGCGAGACAGUUCUCCGGCGGCCUCCUUCCGGCCUUCUCGCCAGGCUAUUUACCUUCCUUCAUGUUCCAUGAGCAACAACAUCCGCGAGGGGCCCAGGGCCCCGGGCUUUCAGAGGCUGAGGGCUGCUCCAUACUCGGCCGGUGGGACCCGUCUCGGUGACUGCUCUGGUCGACAACGACAUUCGGCGACGGGCAGCGCCCCAAGGCUACGGUGCCCAGGCUCCCGUCUCCUAGGCGCCUGCCCCAAGGCUACGGUGCCCAGGCUCCCGUCUCCUAGGCGCCUGCCCCAAGGCUACGGUGCCCAGGCUCCCGUCUCCUAGGCGCCG
rnacentral:lncRNA from 1 species